ensembl:lncRNA
ACCCAAUUGAAAAAUUAUCAAGCUUUGAAAAUUAGCAAUACAGUGAGCUUCAAAAGUAUUGGGACAGUGAUACAUUUUUUGUUGUUUAGACUCUGCACAAAUACCAAACUUUAGACUACUUUAAUGCACAUAUAAGUGAACUUGUCACAAUACCUUUGGUCCCCUAAAAUGGGGGGGACUAUGUACAAAACGUCCUGUAUUUUUUUAAACGGUUCACACGAUAUGGAUGAAAAUACCCUCAAAUUCAAGCUGACAGUCUGCACUUUAACCUCAUAGUCAAUUUAUCAUUUCAAAUCCAAAAAGUGAUGGAGUACAGAGGCCAAACAACAGUCUAAACGGUCAAACAGAUUUGGAUUUAAAAAGGUGACAUUCUGCACAUAUGAAACUUUUCAAAUCCAAAAUGCUGGAGUAUGCUUCACUGUCCAAUUGCGUGUAUGUAAUCAUACGGUGAAAGAAUGCUUUGGCCUCGCUCAUGGAGUCCAUACCAACCUCAGUGCAGCUAAUACUGGAACAAAUAUGUGUAAAGUAAAGGCAUAGGGUAAUACUUAGUUAUAAGUAUCUUUGACUUGACGUCGUCUGAAGGUGAUUCCUCCUCCUCAGGACAAAUGUGCAAUCUGUUCUAUAGCCCAGAAUGUGAACUGUAUUUACACAAAACGUGAUCAAAUAGUUUGUUAAGUGUGAUAGGCUGAUCCUCGGUUGUGGUGAUCAGGCAUUGUGAGGAUUAAGAAUGUAAUAGCUAUGUAUGUAUCCCAAAUGGCACCCUAUUCCAGAUACUGUAGUUAGUGCAGUACUUUUGACCAGUGCCCAUAUUGAGAACAGGGUGCCAUUUGGGAUGUUCCCUAUCUGAGUUAAGAUGAAGGAUUGAGGGGGCAUCCCUCAGCUUAAUGACCAGUUGAAUCACUUGCAUUCUCCUGUUUCUUUAACUAACAUUGUAGUUGUUUUAAUUUGUAUUUUUUAAAUUAUAUUUUCUAUUAUUAUCUAUACACUACUGUUACUGUUAUCACUGCAUUGUUGGAAAAGAGCUCUCAAGGUCAUUUCACUGUACUGUUUUGCACCUGUUCUAUCCUGUGGAUGUGGCGAAUAAACUUUGAAACUACUUGAAACUUAACCGACCCCCGCUGUGCAUCUUCUAAGU